GGGUGGUAAUGCCGGAUGCUCCAGUUGUUCGCAUGGUCUUCUGGGAAAGCUUUCGCGGUAUGGGAUGGGGUCGCGUCCUAUCAGCUUGACGGCGGGGUAACGGCCCACCGUGGCUUCGACGGGUAGCCGGCCUGAGAGGGCGACCGGCCACAUUGGGACUGAGAUACGGCCCAGACUCCUACGGGAGGCAGCAGUGGGGAAUAUUGCACAAUGGGCGCAAGCCUGAUGCAGCGACGCCGCGUGAGGGAUGGAGGCCUUCGGGUUGUAAACCUCUUUUAUCGGGGAGCAAGCGAGAGUGAGUUUACCCGUUGAAUAAGCACCGGCUAACUACGUGCCAGCAGCCGCGGUAAUACGUAGGGUGCAAGCGUUAUCCGGAAUUAUUGGGCGUAAAGGGCUCGUAGGCGGUUCGUCGCGUCCGGUGUGAAAGUCCAUCGCUUAACGGUGGAUCCGCGCCGGGUACGGGCGGGCUUGAGUGCGGUAGGGGAGACUGGAAUUCCCGGUGUAACGGUGGAAUGUGUAGAUAU
rnacentral:rRNA from 1 species